rnacentral:miRNA from 1 species
UGAACCUUGUGUACAAAUUGGC